CGAAUUAGAAGACUGAAAAACACCAUUCUAACCAAGCUCUAGAAAUCCUUGAUACUAUUACUGCUUGAUUAAUUGCUAACUCAGCACACAACAGUAAUCCUUUCACCUAAUCACAAUCACAAACAUCAUUUCGAUUUUCAUUUAUUUUUCGCAUUGGAAUCACACGAAAAGAGAGAGAAGGUUUCAUAAUAUCUUCAACUAACGAUCUCACUUUCCAUUUGUUUGAAUUCGAAUCUGAUUGGGAAGCGAGAAAAUGCAGAAUUGGUUCUCAGCGCAGGGCGAUGAGCAGGAGAAGCCUUCGUCGUCAUUGCUGGCCGAUUGGAAUUCCUACGCAUCCACACAAUCCUCUCAGGAACCCUCCAAUUUGGGACUUCCCUUCGAUCUUGAAUCCGCCGUUAGAUCCGCAAACGACACCGUUUCCGGCACCUUCAGCGUGGUUUCUAAAGGUGUGAGAGAUCUACCUGGCAACUUCCAGUCUGCCACUAGUAAUGUUCCUUCUGGCAAAGCACUUGUGUACUUUGGUUUGUUUCUGGCAAGUGGAGUCUUCUUUGUUUUCAUAGCAUUUACAUUGUUCCUGCCUGUCAUGGUGGUUAUGCCUCAAAAGUUUGCUAUAUGCUUCACACUUGGGUGUGGAUUUAUUAUUGGAUCAUUCUUUGCUCUCAAGGGUCCGAAGAAUCAGCUUGCUCACAUGUUAUCCAAGGAGAGGCUCCCUUUCACAUUGGCUUUUAUAGGCAGUAUGAUUGGUACCAUAUACGUAUCGAUGGUGCUUCACAGCUACAUUCUCUCCGUGGUAUUCUCUGUUGUUCAGCAAAAUCAAUCUAAAUUUAAGAGCUACUAUUUCCACACUCCUGGUGGCUGGCUUUAUGUGACGAGUGUGUAAUGUGUGGUUAACAUGGUUCCCAGGCUUCCAGCAACCGGGCUUGUGGAAAUAGGUUCUCUCACUUGGCUACUAUGCUAUAUCAUACUUUCCUGGCGGAUCUACUGGAAUGAAAUUUCUGACUUCUGCUCUUACCUCUUCAAUAAUGAAAUGUUUUGGGCGGUGACCCUGUUUUUGGUUAAUAUAGGAGUUGAGGUCAGAUCUGUGUCUAUAUUGUAGUUGACAUGUAAAUUUUGUCUCCUAAGAUCUAUCAGCUGAAGUUUCAAACUGACCUAAGAGUAUAACUGAGUUGAAGCAUCAUCUAACACUUUCUGGGUUUAUGUUUGUUGCCACUUCCGAGAUCUGAGUGAAAAAAUUGAUUUGCCUCUUAGCCUCAAGUUUGUAUAACCGAAUUAACAUUGUCUGGUUGAUGAAGUAAAUUGUUGCUAUCUUCCUC